AUCCAGCCGACGAGUCCCAAAUACGACGAAACACGCGUCCUGGAU
rfam:Schistosoma curassoni strain Dakar, Senegal genome assembly, scaffold: SCTD_scaffold0008535